AGAUUACAUAAGGAAGUAUCAAUAACAUAAAACUAACUGCUAUUACAAGCAUUCAAUUCAUACACUUUAUACAUCACGAUUUUCUUUUACAUUUGCUUAACUUCCAAAUACAAUCACAUUAUUACAUCUAAUACAAGUUGGUUGUUGUCAAUCCAUUCUAACCCCUAGGCCCUGCUGACUCGGGAUACUGCUAUCUCGGUCUCUGGGGUAGGGCGCUAUCUACGGAGCUAUGCCCUUUUCUCGCGCCGCCGCACCGCU
rnacentral:lncRNA from 1 species